CCUAAUGGGAAUAAACUAUAGUCACAAAUUAAACUGUAGCAAGUAUAGAACCAGGGGUUGGCUAAAGAAAAGUCUCUCAUAAUAAAUCCUAUCAUAAAGUCUCUGAUAAGUGAUAGCUGAGGCAGUUUCGUUAUAGACUCAAAGUGGUGGUGGUGGUGGAGCCAUGUGCCUAUUGGCCUCUCAUGAGGCCGUCCGUCCAUAAUUAGUCCUUUCAAGUACUUUUAAGCUUCUUUUUUUUUUUUUUUUUUUUUACUUUCAAGCUUUUUUGUCAAGUGUAAAAUACUAAAUUAAUAUUUUUGAUAUAAUAUUUUCUAAUUACAAACUCUUGUAUUAAUUAGAGUUCCAACUGCAGGAUUAGACGAUUACAUCCGAAUCCGAAGAAACAUUCGGCAGCAAGAAGAUAAAAGACGAGAUCUAAAACAUAACAAAAAACAGAUAUAGCAAAAGCAAAAAGAAACCCAUGAAAUUUUUUAACUAGGAAUCUUAAAGUUGGUGUUCGAUCGAAAGAACAAAAUGAAGUCAGUUC
rnacentral:lncRNA from 1 species